rnacentral:rRNA from 1 species
GAUGAACGCUGGCGGCGUGCCUAAUACAUGCAAGUCGAGCGAACGGACGAGAAGCUUGCUUCUCUGAUGUUAGCGGCGGACGGGUGAGUAACACGUGGAUAACCUACCUAUAAGACUGGGAUAACUUCGGGAAACCGGAGCUAAUACCGGAUAAUAUUUUGAACCGCAUGGUUCAAAAGUGAAAGACGGCCUUGCUGUCACUUAUAGAUGGAUCCGCGCUGCAUUAGCUAGUUGGUAAGGUAACGGCUUACCAAGGCAACGAUGCAUAGCCGACCUGAGAGGGUGAUCGGCCACACUGGAACUGAGACACGGUCCAGACUCCUACGGGAGGCAGCAGUAGGGAAUCUUCCGCAAUGGGCGAAAGCCUGACGGAGCAACGCCGCGUGAGUGAUGAAGGUCUUCGGAUCGUAAAACUCUGUUAUUAGGGAAGAACAUAUGUGUAAGUAACUGUGCACAUCUUGACGGUACCUAAUCAGAAAGCCACGGCUAACUACGUG